rnacentral:rRNA from 1 species
UACGGGGGGGGCAAGCGUUAAUCGGAAUUACUGGGCGUAAAGCGUGCGCAGGCGGUUCGCAAAGUCUGAUGUGAAAGCCCCGGGCUCAACCUGGGAACUGCAUUGGAAACUAACGGGCUCGAGUGUGGCAGAGGGGGGUGGAAUUCCACGUGUAGCAGUGAAAUGCGUAGAGAUGUGGAGGAACACCGAUGGCGAAGGCAGCCCCCUGGGCUAACACUGACGCUCAGGCACGAAAGCGUGGGGAGCAAACAGG